rnacentral:rRNA from 1 species
UACAGGGGGGGCAAGCGUUGUUCGGAAUUACUGGGCGUAAAGGGCUCGUAGGCGGCCAACUAAGUCACACGUGAAAUCCCCAGGCUUAACCUGGGAACUGCGUGUGAUACUGGAUGGUUGAUUACGGUAGAGGAGUGCAGAAUUCCAGGUGUAGCGGUGAAAUGCGUAGAUAUCUGGAGGAAUACCGGUGGCGAAAGCGACUCUCUGGACGGCAACUGACGCUGAGGCACGAAAGCGUGGGGAGCAAACAGG